rnacentral:rRNA from 1 species
CCUACGGGAGGCAGCAGUAAGGAAUAUUGGUCAAUGGACGGAAGUCUGAACCAGCCAUGCCGCGUGCAGGAUGACGGCCCUCUGGGUUGUAAACUGCUUUUAUAGGGGACGAAAAAAGGGGAUUCUUCCUCACUUGACGGUACCCUAGGAAUAAGCACCGGCUAACUCCGUGCCAGCAGCCGCGGUAAUACGGAGGGUGCAAGCGUUAUCCGGAUUUACUGGGUUUAAAGGGUGCGUAGGUGGGUCGGUAAGUCAGCGGUGAAAUCUUCGAGCUUAACUCGGAAACUGCCAUUGAUACUAUCGAUCUUGAAUCGUCUAGAGGUAAGCGGAAUAUGUCAUGUAGCGGUGAAAUGCUUAGAUAUGACAUAGAACACCAAUUGCGAAGGCAGCUUACUAUGGAUGUAUUGACACUGAGGCACGAAAGCGUGGGGAUCAAACAGGAUUAGAUACCCUGGUAGUCCACGCCCUAAACGAUGGAUACUCGACAUUUGAGAUAUACUUUAAGUGUCUGAGCGAAAGCAUUAAGUAUCCCACCUGGGAAGUACGAUCGCAAGAUUGAAACUCAAAGGAAUUGACGGCUGAGACGNGCGAGACGACGACGAGGGAGGAGG